rnacentral:rRNA from 1 species
CCCUUAGAUGUUCUGGGCUGCACGCGUGCUACAAUGGCGUUUCCAGCAAGUCUGCGAACCCGAGAGGGCCAGCGGAUCUUCGAAUUGGCGUCGUGAUCGGGACAGUCGAUUGCAAUUAUUUGACUCAAACGAGGAAUUCCUUGUAAUCGCGAUUCAUCAUAUCGCGCUGAAUACGUCCCUGCCCUUUGUACACACCGCCCGUCGCUCCUACCGAUUGAGCGAUCCGGUAAAUGUUUUGGAUUGGUGCCGGGGCGGCUAGCUGCCGGUCGCUACGAAAUUUUGUGAACCUUAUCGCUUAGAGGAAGGAAAAGUCGCAACA